rnacentral:tRNA from 1 species
UGGCUCAAUGGUUAGAGCGUUUGACUUCUAACUAAAGGGUUGCGGGUUCGAGUCUCGC